GGGGAUGUAGCUCAGUUGGUAGAGUGCUUGCCUUGCAUGCACAAGGCCCUGGGUUCAAUCCCCAGCAUCACAA
rnacentral:tRNA from 1 species